GUUAUUUCCCUAGGCUUCGGUGAUCGACGUUCGAACAAUGUUUGCGGAGUCAUUUCCAUCAGAGGUUCCUAUCCAGACUUCCCUGCGCAAGCGAAAGAGGGAUUCCGAAGAAUCCAUGGGCGACUCGGGAAGACCCAUCAAACGCAUGCGGCCCUGUGAUGAACCACAAGUAUCAGAGUGGUUGGAGGAACUAUUCGACAUUGGUGCCAAGGCCGUGGAUUUCCCUCGGAAUUGAGCCUUGACGAUUUGGUUACUUUCGAUGAGAGUUUCUUCGAUGCAGAGACCGUCGUAUUGGAGUGGGAACCCCCUCUGGUUGAAAUCGUUGAUACCGAUCGUUGUGUGAAAGUUCGUUUUGCAAAUGAAAUUCCCGGAGAGGUUUUGGAAGCACAUCUUCGUCACCAUGCUUCUGGGAGAAAGGGAAUUUCCCCUGUUGUGCGUUAUUGGUGUAUGCGUGAGUUCAGCGAACUUUGUCCUGGAGCUCCUUGCUACGAUUUUGAUUUAGUGUAGCUGCUUCAAUUUCGUUGGUUCGCUGUUUGAUGUUCCUUAUUAUUAUUAUUUUUUAGAUGUAUUUUGUUUUGUGUUCAAUAUAUAUAUAUAUAUAUAUAUAUAUAUAUAUAUAUAUAUACAUUUUAAAUGUGAUAGUGUUAGGUUAUCUAUUUUAUGUUUGUUAAAUAUAUGUGUAUUUAUUUAAUUUUAUAUUUCUCCCUUUUUAAUUAAUUAUAUAUAUAUAUUUUUUUACAAUUGUAGUUGCGCAUAGAAUUUAUUAAAGAAAAGUGUUAACAAUGUGUUUUGACGAUUCGUUUCUCGCGCCUGACUUCCAUUAAUCCCUAAUAUUCCUGUCGCCAUGACGCGUGUAAAUCUAACAUGGCUGCUCAUAAAUGUCAUCAGUAAGGUUAUAGUGGCGGGUCUUUAGUUUUGUUUGAUAUCGAAGUAAUUUUCCGUCUGUCGCACGUUUUUCCUUAUUCUACCGCAAUUAGAACAUUUAUUUAUUAAUAUUGUUUAAUGUGACAAUAGUAUUGUUCGUGUGAAUAUACGUAUAUAUAUAUAUUUAUGUUGUGUGUCAUUUUAAUAUGGCUAAUGUUUUGUAAUUCUUCGAUAGCGUUAUUUAUUGUUUUGAGUAGUUUAUUUUAUAGAGUGUUCGAUAAUAUAAAACAUACGCGCACACAUACAUAUAUAUAUAUAUAUAUAUACGUAUUCAUAUGCAUAUUUCUCCUGGCAGUGUAGUAUUCAUACGAAAUGAAAUGUCAAUUAUUUAUUUUAUAUUAACUUCAUUUAAUGAGAUAGAACACGCACACGCACACGUAUAUAUGUAUAUAUUUCUGGUAAUGUGAUUUUCAUUUAGAUUCUUUAGCGAUGUAAUGUUGUGUAUUUGAGGUUAUGUGUUAAUUAUUUGAUUUCAUAUCUACAUAUAUAUCUUGUAUUGUGACAACAUAGUAUGGGAGGUUUUGUUUCUAGAUUAUUGUGUGUUUAAUGUGUGUUUACAUAUUUGUGUUUGAUGGUAGAAUUUCUGUACGCAAUUCCUCAAGUCGUUGCGCUGUUAAUUAUUUUGAGCGUUUGGCCUAUCGACAGGUUGUCGCUUAGUCCCAAGUGUUGCGUUGUGUGUUCUAUUUCUUUUGUAGAUUAUUAGUAGUGAUUUAGUUUAGAAUAUAGAUUAUUUAUAUGUUUAUAUAGAGACAUGCAUGUUUCGUAAUGUAGUUCUCAUUUUAUAAUCCUUUACCGGAAUGUAGGCUAGUUUUAAGUAUGUAUCUUAGAUUAUCGAUUUGAAUCAAUAAUGUAGAAUGCGCAUACAUUAAUAGUAGUUUAGUUUAGAAUAUAAUUUAUAUAUUUAUAUAUAGACAUGCAAGUUUCGUAAUGUAGUUCUUAUUUUAUAAUUCUUUACCGGAAUGUAGGCCAGUUUUAAGUAUGUAUCUUAGAUUACUGUUUGAUAGAAUGCGCACACAUAUAUAUAUGUUUCUGACAACAUAACAUUUAUUUCUUUAAUAAUACAAUAUUGUAUGUUUUAUGUAUUCGUUAGACUAUUAGCUUUUGACUUCAUAUAUACUUAUUUUCAUAAAUUGAUAAUAUUGUAUUUGUUGCACAGUAUUGGAAGUACUGUCUCUAAUAUUUACUAGUCCAUUACAUGUUUGGCAUAUAUGUUUAUACUUAUAUGUAACUCUCCAAGUUGAUUGAUUAAAAUAUAUUUAUAUAUACAUGUAUUCCUGGCGUUUCAAUUAUUUCCCCUUUUGUAGUUAUUCUUAUUUCCUGGUUUAUUUGUUUGGUUUGUAACUCGUUCAAUCCAUUAGCUGGUUCUAUUUAUUUUAUUUUAUACUGGUUGGAUUUAUAUUAUAUUGAUCCAUAGGUUUUCAAAUUGCAAGUCGGUUAUUGGUAGGUUUAUUUAGAGUUGUGUGCAUAUGUAUUUUGUUUAUUUGUUGGAUCUAUUAGUCGCCUUCGUUUUAUUAAUCCUUCCUUUAGUUUCGUAGCGCCGUGUGUUCGUUUGUGCAUUCAAAUCCUUAUUCGCGCGUUUUGUAUAGAAUGGUAUUCUUGUUCUUGUUACGGCGCGUGCGGAGCGCGGGACAUAUUUCGACGUUUAAGCGCUCGUUGAACUCCAUUUUACACUGCAAAUGCAAUGCACUACCGUAGAAGCGUCGAAACAAGUAAAAUAGCUCGCAAAUCGCGAAGAUUUCGAUGAUUUUGACGAAAACUAACUGUCAUUUCCUUCCCGUUGGAGAUAUUUCGACGUUUAAGCGCUCGUUGAACUCCAUUUUACACUGCAAAUGCAAUGCACUACCGCUUAAGCGUCGAAACAAGCAAAAUAGCUCCCAAAUCGCAAAGAUUUCGUCGAUUUUGACGAAAACUAACUGUCAUUUCCUUCCCGUUGGAGAUAUUUCGACGUUUAAGCACUCGUUGAACUCCAUUUCACAGUGCUAAUGCAAUGCACAACCGUUUAAGCGUCGAAACAAUCAAAAUAGCUCGCAAAUCGCGAAGAUUUCGUCGAUUUUGACGAAAAAUAGCCGUCAUUUCCUUCCCGUUGGAGAUAUUUCGACGUUUAAGCACUCGUUGAACUCCAUUUCACAGUGCUAAUGCAAUGCACAACCGUUUAAGCGUCGAAACAAUCAAAAUAUCUCGCAAAUCGCGAAGAUUUCGUCAAUUUUGACGAAAAAUAGCCGUCAUUUCCUUCCCGUUGGAGAUAUUUCGACGUUUAAGCACUCGUUGAACUCCAUUUCACAGUGCUAAUGCAAUGCACAACCGUUUAAGCGUCGAAACAAUCAAAAUAGCUCGCAAAUCGCAAAGAUUUCGUCGAUUUUGACGAAAAAUAGCCGUCAUUUCCUUCCCGUUGGAGAUAUUUCGACGUUUAAGCACUCGUUGAACUC